UACAGAGGGUGCGAGCGUUAAUCGGAAUUACUGGGCGUAAAGCGCGCGUAGGCGGCUUUUCAAGUCGGGUGUGAAAGCCCCGGGCUUAACCUGGGAACUGCAGUCGAGACUGUCUAGCUAGAGUAUGGGAGAGGGAAGUGGAAUUUCAGGUGUAGCGGUGAAAUGCGUAGAUAUCUGAAGGAACAUCAGUGGCGAAAGCGACGUCCUGGACCAAUACUGACGCUCAUGUGCGAAAGCGUGGGGAGCAAACAGG
rnacentral:rRNA from 1 species